UGGGGAAUUUUCCGCAAUGGGCGAAAGCCUGACGGAGCAAUACCGCGUGAGGGAUGACGGCCUAUGGGUUGUAAACCUCUUUUUUCAGGGAGGAAUCAAUGAUGUGUACCUGAAGAAUAAGCAUCGGCUAACU
rnacentral:rRNA from 1 species